rnacentral:rRNA from 1 species
UACGUAGGGUGCAAGCGUUAAUCGGAAUUAUUGGGCGUAAAGGGUGCGCAGGCGGAUGUAUAAGUCAGAUGUGAAAUCCCCGGGCUUAACCUGGGAAUUGCGCUUGUGACUGGCGAGCUGGAGUGUGGCAGAGGGAGGUGGAAUUCCACGUGUAGCAGUGAAAUGCGUAGAGAUGUGGAGGAACACCGGUGGCGAAGGCGGGUCUCUGGGCCGAUACUGACGCUGAGGAGCGAAAGCGUGGGGAGCGAACAGG